rnacentral:tRNA from 1 species
GCGGUCGUGGCGGAAUUGGUAGACGCGCUAGAUUCAGGUUCUAGUGGGUGAAUGCCUGUGAGAGUUCGAGUCUCUCCGACCGCA